GGCAGUUCUCAGGUGACACACCCCGGAAUCAGGCUCCCUCCUCUCUAGUUCCAGGUGCAUCACCCAAGAACCACA
rfam:Myotis lucifugus cont2.3527, whole genome shotgun sequence.